GCAUAUCAAUAAGCGGAGGAAAAGAAACCAACCGGGAUUGCCUCAGUAACGGCGAGUGAAGCGGCAAGAGCUCAAAUUUGAAAGCUGGCCCCUCCGGGGUCCGCAUUGUAAUUUGCAGAGGAUGCUUCGGGUGCAGCCCCCGUCUAAGUGCCCUGGAAUGGGCCGUCAGAGAGGGUGAGAAUCCCGUCUGGGAUGGGGUGCCUGCGCCCGUGUGAAGCUCCUUCGACGAGUCGAGUUGUUUGGGAAUGCAGCUCUAAAUGGGUGGUAAAUUUCAUCUAAAGCUAAAUAUUGGCCGGAGACCGAUAGCGCACAAGUAGAGUGAUCGAAAGAUGAAAAGCACUUUGAAAAGAGAGUUAAACAGCACGUGAAAUUGUUGAAAGGGAAGCGCUUGCGACCAGACUCGCCCCCGGGGUUCAGCCGGCAUUCGUGCCGGUGUACUUCCCCGGGGGCGGGCCAGCGUCGGUUUGGGCGGCCGGUCAAAGGCCUCCGGAAUGUAGCGCCCUUCGGGGCGCCUUAUAGCCGGGGGUGCAAUGCGGCCAGCCUGGACCGAGGAACGCGCUUCGGCUCGGACGCUGGCAUAAUGGUCGUAAACGACCCGUCUUGAAACACGGACCAAGGAGUCUAACAUCUACGCGAGUGUUCGGGUGUCAAACCCGUACGCGCAGUGAAAGCGAACGGAGGUGAGAGCCCCCCCGUGGGGCGCAUCAUCGACCGAUCCUGAAGUCUUCGGAUGGAUUUGAGUAGGAGCGUAGCUGUGGGGACCCGAAAGAUGGUGAACUAUGCCUGAAUAGGGCGAAGCCAGAGGAAACUCUGGUGGAGGCUCGCAGCGGUUCUGACGUGCAAAUCGAUCGUCAAAUUUGGGUAUAGGGGCGAAAGACUAAUCGAACCAUCUGGUAGCUGGUUCCUGCCGAA
rnacentral:rRNA from 1 species